rnacentral:rRNA from 1 species
UGCUAGUCGCGCGGGUUUAGACCCGCGGCGUAUAGCUCAGUAACACGUGGCCAAACUACCCUACAGACGGGAACAACCUCGGGAAACUGAGGCUAACUCCCGAUACGCGUCGACCGUUUGAACACGUCGACGCUCAAACGCUCCGGCGCUGUAGGAUGUGGCUGCGGCCGAUUAGGUAGACGGUGGGGUAACGGCCCACCGUGCCAAUAAUCGGUACGGGUUGUGAGAGCAAGAGCCCGGAGACGGAAUCUGAGACAAGAUUCCGGGCCCUACGGGGCGCAGCAGGCGCGAAACCUUUGCACUGCACGCCAGUGCGAUAAGGGGACCCCGAGUGAAAGGGCAUAUCGCCCUUUCUUUUCUGAACCGUAGGGAGGUUCAGGAACAAGAGCUGGGCAAGACCGGUGCCAGCCGCCGCGGUAAUACCGGCAGCUCGAGUGAUGACCGAUCUUAUUGGGCCUAAAGCGUCCGUAGCUGGCCGCGCAAGUCCGUCGGGAAAUCCACCCGCUUAACGGGUGGGCGUCCGGCGGAAACUGUGCGGCUUGGGACAGGAAGGCUCGAGGGGUACGUUCGGGGUAGGAGUGAAAUCCCGUAAUCCUGAACGGACCGCCGAUGGCGAAAGCACCUCGAGAGGACUGAUCCGACAGUGAGGGACGAAAGCUGGGGUCUCGAACCGGAUUAGAUACCCGGGUAGUCCCAGCCGUAAACGAUGUUCACUAGGUGUGUCACUCACUACG